UUAAGGACAUUUAAGGCUGCAGUUCAUGGAUUUUGACUUGGGCAAUUAGUUUUUAAAUCUCAUGUCCACAUCUGAAAUUCAAGACAAAAGUACACUAAAGGUGGCAUUUCUGACAACACCAAGUGAUUGUGACAACUUGCCCUCACCACAGCUGAACAGUUCUCAAAGGAGUACAGGUCUGCUCAUAACCAGCUCUUUCACUUUCAUCCUGUGACACAGUCAUUUGUCAACCCCAUCUACAUCAUUAGGCUCUGACUGUGUUGCAAAAGUGUGUCUUGCCAAGUAUAUAACAAAACUGAGAAAAAUUGGCUGUACUGAAGUGAAAUUAAGCCCAAACCAGCUGGAAUUUCCAGUUCUGCUUACCAUAUAAAAAAACAUGCAAACGCUGAGGUGAACUUCUGCCCUUACCAUCCACAAACGGAGACAUCCAAAACACUGAAAGUAGUCAGUGUAAUACUUCUGUCUGAAAUGAAAAAGAACAAUGAGAAAACAUUAUGAAUGCUGAUGGACAAGACCUUUUUUAUCAGGAGACAUGAGGUUGUCAAGGAAUCGCCUUCAAUAGCAGAUUUCAAAACUAGAUGGCCUGCUCUUUUCAGAAGGGAAGAGAUUUGUGCAGAGUUUAAAAGAAUCACAACAGCCUCAUUGGUGUCUACAUACUUGGCGAAGAUGAAUCAAUAUUCUGCAAAGCUUAUAAGGAUCUAUGCAAAACGAGGAGUCGUCAAUGGACAGAGAAUUAAAAACCUGCUGGUUCACAACACAGACUGACAACAUUGAUCAGACUCCGAUCUUUCUUUGUCUACCUGAAUGAAGACCCGACCAGUCUAAUUAAAGAGUAUUUGGAUACAGAUGCACCCACCCAGGAGGCGAUCCAGAAGAUGGUGAUGGGAGUGCUUGUUGUAAAAAUGUAUGGUUCAGACAUCGAGGACAGCCCAGCAGAUGUUGGAGUGUUAUUAAAGGGAUUAAGAGUUCUCGGACCUCAACAACAUUGUGUAUGCGACAACCAUGCUGAUGGGACUGAAAUAUGCACUGAACUUGAGCUACUUUCCUGAAUUCAGGUACACUUUUGAAGUAUUGCAGUUGUUGUUUCUGGAGCUAGAUGGGAAGUAACUAUCUCAUAAAGUUCAGACCCUGAAGACCAAGCCUUUUGCAGAUGUUUUGAGAAAGGAAUGUUUUAAUAUUUCAUAUGUAAAUGCCAUGUUUUUGAAAUGGCAGUACAAUAACAUUCAGGAAGUAAGCAGUGUCGUCAAUUUAUUUUGAUAGUUUUGCAGUGUGUUUUUAUUUAAUUAGAUUAAUGUAGAGUUGUUUAAAGCUUUGGCUGUACGUAAAUAGUGCUGCAUCUAAUUUGUCAUGGAAUGUUAAUGUUUAUAUUGCUGUUACAGUAACAUUUAACUUAAAUUAUACCAAAGUUGUUGAAAAAUCUUUGAAAGUCGCAUGUGCCAGCUCUCUGAAUGGAGAGCAACCUAUUUUGUCAGUUAGCAUUACAGUUGUGUAAUACUGUUGUUUAAUUAUACUUAUCCGGGGGCUUGAAAAAAGUGCCUGAAUGGUGCUUCGUGCAUUUCAUUUGUCAGUAACUGUAAAAAAUUGUAAUGUUGUUAUAAGGUUACAUUGUAAUAUCCAAAGUUGAUGUGUGCAUCUCAUUUGUCGGUAUAUCCUUUACGGUAUCUGUAGUUUAAGUGCAAUAAACAUGGCUUGAAGAACUGGUAUCUGAGAUUCUUUUAUGAAUAAAAUGAAUGUUAUAUAGAGUUUAUUACAAAAAGUAUAUUUUUGUGUGUGAUUUAACUUGAAAUAGAAAUUGUUGUGUUAAAGUAA